UACGUAGGGUGCGAGCGUUGUCCGGAAUUAUUGGGCGUAAAGAGCUUGUAGGCGGUUUGUCGCGUCUGCUGUGAAAACGCGAGGCUCAACCUCGCGCCUGCAGUGGGUACGGGCAGACUAGAGUGCGGUAGGGGAGAUUGGAAUUCCUGGUGUAGCGGUGGAAUGCGCAGAUAUCAGGAGGAACACCGAUGGCGAAGGCAGAUCUCUGGGCCGUUACUGACGCUGAGGAGCGAAAGCGUGGGGAGCGAACAGG
rnacentral:rRNA from 1 species